rnacentral:piRNA from 1 species
UCCCAUUUCACAGAUGCCUGGAACAAUCAA